ensembl:lncRNA
CAGACAGACAGACAGACAUGAAGCCACCAGACAGACAGACAGACAUGAAACCACCAGACAGACAGACAGACAUGAAGCCACCAGACAGACAGACAUGAAGCCACCAGACAGACAGACAGACAGACAGGUGUUUAGGAGUAAAUACUUUAUUAACAUUCUCCUUCAGCACCACUAGAGGAUCAGAACUCUACAGGAAACAGAGACUCUGGUCCUGGUUCCCAUGGCUACAGUGGUUAGUGAGUGAGGCAGGCGGAGACCCUCCUCUCUGCUCUGCUACAGUCCUUAAUGAGGUCCCUUUAACACAGAGGUCCCCUGACCCAACCACAGAAUACUGCUUAGCGUUAACUAUGGUGACAGGUUCUCUGAUCGUUUGGUAGAACCUCGUCUCCUCUGGGUCCCAACCUAAAGAUAUUUUACACUGUAAAAGUUUUUUAAAAAGGUUAAAAUAAUUGUUGACUUGUGAUAGGGUCCUCCUCUGUUACCCAGAACACACUGCUUCACCCAGACAGCGUCCCAACAGUCUAAAGUAGCUCGUCUUCUCCUCCUUCUGAUCUGAAAGACCUGGUCACCUGAAACCGAAUUCCCUCAUCAUAUAUUCUUUAUACCGUUUUCCUGCGCAGACGAAGGAGAGGUGAGGAGACGAGAGGAAGCAUCUUCAGACUAUUGAGAUUCAGCCGGCCUGAAUUCCUUCCAUUAUUAAAACAAUUCAGUUAGCGCUCUUGACAGAUAGCAUUUAGCCAACCGUUAGCUCUAGACAGACAGUUAGCUAACCGUUAGCUCUUGACAGGUAGCAGUUAGCUAACCGUUAGCCAUUGACAGGUAGCAGUUAGCUAACCGUUAGCUCUAGACAGACAGUUAGCUAACCGUUAGCUCUAGACAGCUCUUGACAGGUAGCAGUUAGCUAACCGUUAGCCCUAGACAGACAGUUAGCUAACCGUUAGCUCUAGACAGACAGUUGGAUCUAGACAGCUCUUGACAGGUAGCAGUUAGCUAACCGUUAGCUCUAGACAGGUAGCAGUUAGCUAACCGUUAGCUCUAGACAGACAGUUGGAUCUAGACAGCUCUUGACAGGUAGCAGUUAGCUAACCGUUAGCUAUUGACAGGUAGCAGUUAGCUAACCGUUAGCCAUUGACAGGUAGCAGUUAGCUAACCGUUAGCUCUAGACAGAGAGUUAACUAACCGUUAGCUCUAGACAGAGAGUUAACUAACCGUUAGCUCUAGACAGAGAGUUAGCUAACCGUUAGCUCUAGACAGUUAGCUAACCGUUAGCUCUAGACAGUUAGCUAACAGUUAGCUAACCGUUAGCUCUAGACAGUUAGCUAACCGUUAGCUAACCGUUAGCUCUAGAAAGUUAGCUAACCGUUAGCUCUAGACAGUUAGCUAACCGUUAGCUCUAGACAGUGAGUUAGCUAACCGUUAGCUCUAGACAGUUAGCUAACCGUUAGCUCUAGACAGUUAGCUAACCGUUAGCUCUAGACAGUUAGCUAAC